UUUAAUUCAUACAUCUUAUUUAAUUUCUGUUGUUGAUUUAUUUAUUUUUAUUUGAUGUUAAGAUUAAGGGGGAUUAGCUCCUUGUUCUAGCUUUUAUAAUUGUCUGAGUUUAAUUUAGUUUUGUGGAUUUUAUGGUGAUUUUCUAUUUGAUUAUGUUAAAAUUUUAUUUGUUCUUUUUUUAAUUUUUUUGUUAUUUAAGUUAUUUAUUGAAAUGUUUUCUUUACUUUGGUUUGUAUAGUAAUUAUUGUGUAAUUAGUAAAUUUUAUUGGUUGUUUUGUGAGAGAUGGUAGGUGUUAAUUGCUUUUGAGGAAUUCGGCAAAGUUCUAUGUCCGCCUGUUUAACAAAAACAUCUUUUCUUGUUAGUUUUUGAAGUAUGGCCUGCCCACUGACUUAGAGUUGAAGGGCCGCGGUAUUUUGACCGUGCAAAGGUAGCAUAAUCAUUAGUUCUUUAAUUGUGAUCUGGUAUGAAUGGCUUGACGAGACAUAAGCUGUCUUAGAGGUAUUGGUUUAUUGAAUUUGGUUUUUGAGUUAAAAUUCUUAAAUGUUUUUAUGGGACGAGAAGACCCUAUAGAGUUUGACAAUUUUCCUAUUUAUUCGUUGUUUGUAUUUAUUUACAUUGAGUGGGAGUGAAUUGUUUUGUUGGGGUGAUGGGAGGAAUAUUAUUUAACUCCUCUUUGUUUUUAUAUAUUUAU
rnacentral:rRNA from 1 species